UGUCGAUGCCUUUCGGGGCAUUUCCUCCCUAGACUUUCACCGCGUCCGAACGAUUUGGACGCGGUUUUUUUAUCCGCCU
rnacentral:sRNA from 1 species